GAUGAACGCUGGCGGCGUGCCUAAUACAUGCAAGUCGAGCGAACAGACCAGGAGCUUGCUCCUCUGACGUUAGAGGCGGACGGAAGAGUCACACGUGGAUAAACUAACUAUAAGAAUGGGAUACCUUCGGGAAACCGGAGCUAAUACCGGAUAAUUUAUUGCACCGCAUGGUUCCAUAGUGAAAGUCGGUUUUGCUGUCAGUUAAAGAUGGAUAAGCCGCGCAUCAGUUAGUUGGUAACGUAACUGCUUACCAAGGCGGCGAGGCGUAGCCGACCUGAAAGGGUGAUCGCCCACACGGUAUCUGAGACACGGUCCAGACUCCGACGGGAGGCAGCAGUCGGGAAUCUUCCGCGAGGGAGCAGUGCCGAACAGUGCAACGCCGCGUGAGGCAUGAUGCUCUUCUGAUCGGAGAGCGCUGUAAGUAUUGGGGUAGUAAAGUUCUAGUAACUGUGCUCAUCUUGACAGUACCGGAUCAAAAAGCCACGGCUAACUACGUG
rnacentral:rRNA from 1 species